AGUAACGACAAUGGGUGUGAAAAACACCCACGCCGAAAGACCAAGGGUUCCUGCGCAACGUUAAUCGACGCAGGGUUAGUCGGUUCCUAAGGCGAGGCUGAAAAGCGUAGUCGAUGGGAAACAGGUUAAUAUUCCUGUACUUCUGGUUACUGCGAUGGAGGGACGGAGAAGGCUAGGCCAGCUUGGCGUUGGUUGUCCAAGUUUAAGGUGGUAGGCUGAAAUCUUAGGUAAAUCCGGGGUUUCAAGGCCGAGAGCUGAUGACGAGUCGUCUUUUAGAUGACGAAGUGGUUGAUGCCAUGCUUCCAAGAAAAGCUUCUAAGCUUCAGGUAACCAGGAACCGUACCCCAAACCGAC
rnacentral:rRNA from 1 species